GAAAAGAACCAUUUGAAAUCGGUCACCCAUCCUAUGGCUGACCGUGCCAGUUGUUGCUUAACCUCAGUGAUCAGUUACGAUCACUGAAGCCCGCUCGACUAAGGACGCUUCCGUUUCGUGCUUCCCCCAUUCCCUGGACAUUCCAGUUUCCAUUACCCAAGGAUAAUGUAUACUAUACAAGGACUUGGGUGAACUGUUUUUCCAAGUAGGUAGUAAUAGAAAGUCGCUGUUUUUUUCUACCGAGACUGAUUAUUCCUGACACGUUAUUCCCUGGCUGUUCCAGAUUGGACGUGUCAUUCUUAGUCCGAGUAAAAAACGUUAGUACCUACUUCCCAACUUAAAUAAAAUUAAAUAUAUAAUUAAUGUAGGUAGGUAGAUACACGUAAUGUGUUUUUUCCUGGACAUUUCAUGUUUUUUCCCCUGUACAUUCAUCUUCGGCUUCAUAUUCUCGGACUUUUUCUUAGAAGCAAUAUUAAAAAAAGAUUUUAAGAUCCAUUCCCCAUUGGUCAUGGUGCAAAAUUGUAUAUUAUGAUUAAUAAUAUUGUAUUCUAUUCUAAAAGGAUUCCAGGAUCCAUUCCUCAUUGGUUGUACUGACGGUGGUUUGAACAGAGAUUUGUCUACGGUUGUAGCGAAUCCUAUAACAACAUGUCAUUUCCCUCGGUCAUGAUUCGUCAUGAUAUUCUCUUGUUCUCACAGUUAUAUUUCGACACAUUUCUUAAUGUUUCCACUGGUUCAAUUUCCUAUUCAAUAUUCUAUUCUAUUCUAUUCUAAAUAAAGAUACGUACUGCGGUGACCAACGAAUCCUCUAGGCCUAGUCAAUAUUUCUCAUCCACGUCGCCAGUCUUCAUUUUGCCACUGGUAUGUAUGCCCUGGACAUUACAGUUUCCAUUGCCCAAGGAUUUUGUUGUAUAUUAUACAAGUACUUGGGUGAAAUAUUUUUCCAAGAAGAAAUAGCAAGUCGCUGUUUAUCUUAAGGCUUUUCUAAUGAGACUGGUUCUAUUCCUGACACGUUAUUCCCUGGCUGUUCCAGAUUGGACGUGUCAUUUUAGUCCUAGUGAAAAACGUAUUCAUUACUUACCUACUUAAAUAAAAUAUAUAAUUAAUGUAGGUAGAUAGAUACGUAAUGUGUUUUUUCAUACACAUUUCAUGUUUUUUUCUUUGUACAUUUCCGGUAAGUAGAUAUUUGUAGACAAAUGUUUCCAAGAUCCAUUCCUCAUUGGUUGCACUGACAGUGGUAUAGAACACCACAGAUAUUCCGGCUCGUUCUUUUCCCAGUCGUCAUUCGUCACGUUAUUCCCUGGAGAUUCUAGUAUCCAUUCCAGCUUUGAUAGGUUCAGGCGCUCCUCGUAAAUCGGUUCAGCCGUUUGGGAGCUUCGCUACUACCCACACAUACACAUAAAUGUUAAACUUAUAACAAUGUGAGGUAAAUCCGCAAUCCGCGGCGGUGCGCAGUGUAUAAAUUGCCUAAAGUGCUUCCCAUUACUACAAGAAAACAUCCUUUACCCGAGGACUAUUUAAAAAAGUUUCCAAGCUCCAUUCCCCAUUGGUUUCAACCACUCGAGGUGAAAUAAUUACUCCGGCUCAUCUUUUUCCCAUGGCCUGGACAUUUCAGUUUCCAUUGCCCAAGGGUUUUGUAUAUUAUACAAGUACUUGGGUGAAAUGUUUUUGAAAGAAGAAAGAGGAAGGCGCUGAUUAUCUUAAAGACUUUUCUAAUGAGACUGGUUAUUCCUGACACGUUAUUCCCUGGCUGUCCCAGAUUGGACGUGUUAUUUUAGUCCGAGUAAAAAACGUCAUUACUUCCCUAAUAAAAUAAAAUUAAAUAUAUAAUUAAUGUUUCCUGGACAUUUCAUGUAUUUUCCCAUGUAUUUACAUACAUUCCCAGUACAUAUUCUCAGACUUUUUCUAAGAAGUGAUGUAAAAAAAGAUUCCUAGAUCCAUUCCUCAUUGGUUGCACUGACAGUGGUAUAGAACACCACAGAUAUUCCGGCUCGUUCUUUUCCCAGUCGUCAUUCGUCACGUUAUUCCCUGGAGAUUCUAGUAUCCAUUUCAGGUUGGAAACGUGGUGUCGCUUCUCGUAAAUCGGUUCAGCCGUUCGGGAGCUACGCUACCCAAGGAUAUACUAUAAAACGACUUGGGUGAAUUGUUUUUCCAAGUAGGUAAGUAGUAACAGCAAGUCGCUGUUUAUCUAAAAGACAUUUCUACCGAGAUCUAUUAUUAUUCCUGACACGUUAUUCCAGAUUGAGCGUGUCAUUUUAAUCCGAGUAAAAAACGUCAUUACUUACCUAAUUAAAUAUAAUAUAUAUAUAAUUAAUGUAGGUAGAUAACUAAUGUGUUCUUACCUGGACAUUUCGUGUAUUUUCCCCUGUACAUUACCAGUACAUAUUCUCAGAGUUUUUCUAAUAAUUAAUAUUUAAUAAAAGUUUCCAAGAUCCAUUCCUCAUUGAUUGCACUGAAAUAAUUAGAUACCUAUUCGGGUUCAUCCUUUUCCCACGGCCUGGACAUUCCAGGAGUUUCCAUUGCCCAAGGAUUUUGUAUAUUAUACAAGUACUUGGGUGAAAUGUUUUUCAAAGAAGAAAUAGCAAAUCGCUGCUUAUCUUAAAGACUUCUCUAAUCAGACUAGUUACUCCUGACACGUUAUUCCCUGGCUGUCCCAGAUUGGACGUGUCAUUUUUAGUCCGAGUAUAAAACGUCAUUACUUCCCUAAUUAAAUAUAUAAUUAAUGUAGGUACCUAAUGUCAUUUUUCCUGGACAUGUCAUGUAUUUUCCCAUGUAUUUACAUUCCCAGUACAUAUUUUCAGACUUUUUCUAAGAAGUGAUAUAAAAAAAGAUUCCUAGAUCCAUUCCUCAUUGGUUGCACUGACAGUGGUACAGAACAACUCUCGAGAUGAGGUAUUCUGGUUCGGGUUUCUCCCAGUCGUUAUUUGUCACGUUAUUCCCUGGAGAUUCCAGUAUCCAUUCCGCUUUGAACUCGUACUGACGUGGUAUAAAAACACCUCUUGAGAUGUAUAAGGUAUUCCGAUUCCUUUUUUCCCAGUCGUUCUUCAUCACCAGUAUCCAUUAUCUAUUAUCCAGUAUCCAUUCCGCCUUAGACAGGUUGCUUCACGUAAAUCGGUUCAACUGUUUGGGAGCUACGCUACCACAGACAUAUAUUUUACUAUUUACCAUAGUAUAGGCAAUCCGCAGCGGUGUGCAGUUUGUAAACCGCCUAAAGUGCUUCCCAAUAUGCACGAUAUUCCCUGACAGAUUAUUCCCUGACACGUUAUUCCCUAGUUUUGCCAGAUUGGAUGUGUCAAUUUAUUCAAAGUAACAUUUAUUUAAUAAAGAAUCCAUUGGAUAAUUAACUUCCUCUGGUCAACUUUUGUAGAAACAUAAUGUGUUUUUUCCUAGACGUUUCAGUCUAUUACGUCUAAGUAUUCUUAAUCCAAAAUUCCAAUAAAAGGCAUUUAAAAGGUUCAAAUCCAAAGGUUGUCUGGUUGAGAUUGCGUUUAGCAAUAAGGCCGCCUGUUUGUACUAUUUUAUUAUGAAGUUGACAUUUUGUAGUAAGUAAAUGUUUUCUUUCAUGGUGCAAAAUUGUAUAUUAUGAUGAUUAAUAUUUUAUUCUAUUCUAAAAGGAUUCCAGGAUCCAUUCCUCAUUGGUUGUACUGACGGUGGUUU